rnacentral:rRNA from 1 species
ACGAAUGGCGUAACGACUUCCCCGCUGUCUCCAACGCAGACUCAGCGAAAUUGAAUUCCCCGUGAAGAUGCGGGUUCCCGCGGUCAGACGGAAAGACCCGUGCACCUUUACUACAGCUUCACACUGGCAUCAGGCCAGGCAUGUGCAGGAUAGGUGGCAGGCUUUGAAACAGGGACGCCAGUUCCUGCGGAGCCGUCCUUGAGAUAUCACCCUUGCCUUGCCUGAUGUCUAACCGCGGACCGUCAUCCGGUUCCGGGACCCUGUGUGGCGGGUAGUUUGACUGGGGCGGUCGCCUCCCAAAAAGUAACGGAGGCGCGCGAUGGUGGGCUCAGGUUGGUCGGAAAUCAACCGUCGAGUGCAAUGGCAUAAGCCCGCCUGACUGCGAGACUGACAAGUCG